rnacentral:misc_RNA from 1 species
UAAUAAGUGUCUAUGGCACUUCUUAAAUCCAUAUCCACCUUGUGUGCAAUGUCAGUCCGAUUUCUUAUGGAGAUCGACCAAACAUCAACUUAUCUUUUAACUGUCUGUCUGAAAACUAUUAUGAAUAAACAAUUCAAAUA